ACCACUCCCAGCAGGGAUGGCGUCGGGGCCCCCAGGGCUGAGCUGGCUCUGCCCGCCGGGGUUUAUCCCUUUAUUUCCCUCCUGCCUGCCGGAGAAAGCGGCUCCAUCAGCUCCGGCAUCAUCUCUCCAUCCUGAGCGAGCCGUGCCGGGCUGGGAGGGGAGGGGAGGGAGCAGCUGGAUCCCAGAAUCCCUGUCUGAGCCACCGCAGGGAGCCCCUUCCCAACACCUCCUCCCCGUCCCAGCACCUCCUCCCUCACCAUGCUGGAUAUUUUCAUCCUGAUGUUCUUUGCCAUCAUCGGCCUCGUGAUCCUCUCCUACAUCAUUUACAUGCUCUAGGGAGAUGCCGGGGGGGGAUGCAGCUCAGCAUGGGCCUCGCAGCCCCAGCGCCAGCCAGCCUCGUGUCCCUCGGAGCCUUCUGGAACAGCGUUAACCCCUGCGGGCCCAGCGCAGAGCACGGAGGGGGAAUGGGGAGGGGGCUGUGAGGGGACCCCCCCCCUGCUGGGACCUGAGCCCUCUGCGUGGUGGAUCCCCUCGGGAUGAGGUCGGUCCUCUGGGUUUCACUUUCGGGAGAGCACUUCUAUUUUUAAUGAAAAACCACGUGGAAGGAAAUGGAAUAAAGAGGAACCACGCGGUG